UCCAUUUUACCCAUCCAACCUCUGCCACAAAAAGAAACAGCUACCAGAUUUAUAUAGUUUCUUGAACUAAAGUUUAGGGGUGAAGGAAGAUGAGUAACAGAGUAUGGGACAGCUGUAUGUUUACACCAGAUUUCUCUUAGUUCUCUUAAAGCAUUGGAAAUACUAGUAGAAACACGUAUCUAGACCACCCUAGAAUGGCAGUGGCAAAGGACAAAGAAAAACACAUCUGAGUAAUCCUCACAAUCCUGGAGAAGGAAAAACGAAGGCUCAGAAGCAUACCUUUCACCAUCUAAAGGAAAGAAUGAUGGUGCAAAUCAGCAGAAGACAGGUUUUGUGAUGGAAAUGAAAGGGCUCAGAAUUACAAGGGAUUGAACUUCAGGUUUCAAAAGCCAGAACCAAGAAGAGCUCAAGGAAAGUUGAUGACUCAGAAAUGGAAUUAUCUUGCCCCUAGAGAAGAUGGAGAGAGGAAAGUGGGAGGGAAGCAAAGAACUCUGGUGGGUCCUUGAAGAAGUUCCCUAGGUAGUGCAUUCUCCAAGGCCAUUGUGUCCAGGAUGAAGGAUAAUUCCACCCCGAAGAGAUUUGGGAAUCUAAAACAAAGAGUAUUGGAAGGAGACACAAAAUACCUUCAACACAGUGGCAGCAGAGGGGUGGAAUCCUCUGGCUGUUUGGUGUGCCCUUUAGAUGGAGGUGAGUCACAUUCUCAGGAUUUGUAGUCACCCUACCAAAACUGGGAAAGCCUGCAAGAGCUUUCAGAACCUUCAAGAGCUAUAUAGACAAGCAUCAAGAGACAGCAGGUGGAAACAUGGAAGGAUAGACCUGUAAAGAACAAUGACACAGAGCAAAUGGGAUGAGAGAUGUGACAAUAAAUGUCAGCUUAAUUAGAUAACAAUACCAAAGACUAGAUGUUCCUGGUUCAUCUGUCACUGCAUGUAUCCCCUGAAUCUAAGGAGGUGGGAGGGGGAUGGAUCCUGAUUUAACAGAGCUUAAGAUUCUGGCACUUGAUGUAAUAAGGUUAAUAAAAAAAAUUUAACUUCA